rnacentral:rRNA from 1 species
UACGUAGGGGGCAAGCGUUGUCCGGAAUUAUUGGGCGUAAAGCGCGUGUAGGCGGCCAGAUAAGUCCGCUGUGAAAUCUCGAGGCUCAACUUCGAGCUGUCGGUGGAAACUGUCUGGCUAGAGUCCGGAAGAGGAGAAUGGAAUUCCUGGUGUAGCGGUGAAAUGCGCAGAUAUCGGGAAGACCACCAGUGGCGAAGGCGGUUUGCCAGAACGCGCUCGACGGUGAGGGAUGAAAGCUGGGGG